UACGUAGGGUGCAAGCGUUAAUCGGAAUUACUGGGCGUAAAGCGUGCGCAGGCGGUUGUGCAAGACAGAUGUGAAAUCCCCGGGCUCAACCUGGGAACUGCAUUUGUGACUGCACGGCUAGAGUGUGUCAGAGGGGGGUAGAAUUCCACGUGUAGCAGUGAAAUGCGUAGAUAUGUGGAGGAAUACCGAUGGCGAAGGCAGCCCCCUGGGAUAACACUGACGCUCAUGCA
rnacentral:rRNA from 1 species